AUACAUUGGUAGAGGAGCAUUGGGGCGGCGGCGAAGCGGUACCGAAAGGGGCCGUGGAGCCUCCCCAAGAGAGAAUGCCGGAAUGAGUAGCGAGAGAGAGGUGGGAAUCCUCUCGGCCGAAUAUCCAAGGUUUCCAGGGUAAAGCUGAUCUUCCCUGGGUAAGUCGGGACCUAAGGCGAGGGCGCGAGCCGUAGCCGAUGGACAACAGGUUGAGAUUCCUGUACUGCAUGGCAGCAGAACUGUGGGGACGCAUGUGGAGAGCACAGGCGCGGAAAGGAAAGCCGCGCGCAAGCGGGGGAGGGGACGCCCAGGCAAAACCGGGCGCCAACCCAAAGACGUGAAGCGGAGCGAAGUAUAGUAGCGAAGUGUGUGAGCCAUGUGCCGAGAAAAGCCGCUAUAGCCUGCCAUGUACCCGUACCGUAAACCGACACAGGUGGGUGAGGAGAGAAUCCUAAGGCCGACGGAAGAAGCAUUGUUAAGGAACUCGGCAAAAUGACCCCGUAACUUCGGGAGAAGGGGUGCCCUUGAAAGAGGGCCGCAGUGAACAGGCUCAAGCAACUGUUUAGCAAAAACACAGGUCUAUGCGAAACCGGAAGGUGAGGUAUAUGGGCUGACGCCUGCCCGGUGCUGGAAGGUUACGAGGAGGGGUCAGCGCAAGCGAAGCCCUGAAUCCAAGCCCCAGUAAACGGCGGCCGUAACUAUAACGGUCCUAAGGUAGCGAAAUUCCUUGUCGGGUAAGUUCCGACCCGCACGAAAGGCGUAAUGAUUUGAGCACUGUCUCGACAAUGCAUCCGGUGAAAUUGAAGUACCAGUGAAGAUGCUGGUUACCCGCGCCAGGACGGAAAGACCCCAUGGAGCUUUACUCUAGUUUGGUACUGGGAUCUUGUAUUGCAUGUACAGGAUAGGUGGGAGACGGAGAUGGCGUGGCGCCAGCCGCGCCGGAGUCGGUGUUGGGAUACCACCCUUGCAUUAUGAGGUUUCUAACCUGCGCCCGUAAGCCGGGCGGGGGACAAUGCCAGAUGGGGAGUUUGACUGGGGCGGUCGCCUCCGAAAGGGUAUCGGAGGCGCCCAAAGGUUCCCUCAGGAUGGUUGGAAACCAUCCGCAGAGUGCAAAGGCAGAAGGGAGCCUGACUGCGACACCGACGGGUGGAGCAGGUACGAAAGUAGGGCUUAGUGAUCCGGUGGUAUUAAGUGGGAAUGCCAUCGCUCAACGGAUAAAAGCUACCCUGGGGAUAACAGGCUUAUCACUCCCAAGAGUUCACAUCGACGGAGUGGUUUGGCACCUCGAUGUCGGCUCAUCGCAUCCUGGGGCUGUAGUAGGUCCCAAGGGUUGGGCUGUUCGCCCAUUAAAGCGGUACGCGAGCUGGGUUCAGAACGUCGUGAGACAGUUCGGUCCCUAUCCGGCGUGGGCGCAGGAGUUUUGAAAGGAGCUGUCCUUAGUACGAGAGGACCGGGAUGGACGGACCGCUGGUGGACCUGUUGCACUGCCAGGUGCAGGGCAGGGUAGCCAAGUCCGGAAGGGAUAAACGCUGAAGGCAUCUAAGCGUGAAGCCCCCCUUGAGAUAAGAACUCCCAUUCGAAAGAAGUAAGACCCCUUGAAGACGACGAGGUAGAUAGGGCAGAGGUGGAAGUGCAGCAAUGCAUGGAGCUGACUGUUACUAAUCGGUCGAGGGCUAGAUCA
rnacentral:rRNA from 1 species